rnacentral:snRNA from 1 species
GUCCCUUCAGGGACAUGUGAUAAAAUUGGAAUGAUACAGGGAAUAUUAGCAUGGCCGCUUCAAGGAUUUUUUUUUGAGAAUCUCACAAAGCUUUA